GAAACUAGAAAGAAAUAGUACAAAAAGAACCAGUUGUCCUCCUGAGCUGUCUCCAGAGCCCCUUUUCCUCAGAGCUGCUGUCCCCUCUCUGCAGCCCAGAUUGCCAUGUUGCCCUGCCUUGGAGCCAGCCAGGUAUGAACUGAAACCUCUACAAUGUAUGAGCGACAAUAAACCUUUCUUCCCUUAAUUUUGGUGGGCUGCCCUGCAGAGUGAUGAGCAGGACCAGUGAGAUCAAACACUCUUAUCUUGCUAGGACAAAACUACCCAGUGUGGGGCCGGGGUGUGGCUCAGUGAUAAGAGUAUGGAGCAAUUGGCCUAAUAGAUGGCUGUGGACUUCAUCCCCAGUACCGAACAGCAGAAGCAAACCAGACAAGAGAAGCCAUCACUUGCACUCACAAGUUCCUGUCUCAAAAAAAAAAAGCAAACGUCUAGUCUUUCAUUGCCAUGAGUUCAAGGCCAGCCUGAGCUACAUGAGUGCGUUCAAGGGCAGCCUGCACACAUAAUGAGACACUGUUCCAAAGAAAAGAAAAAAAGAAUAUUACCUGUGAGUUUUAAAGAUGAGCUUUUGAAGACUGAAUAUAUUUCAUAUUUCUUUCUGUUGAAUUCUGUCAAGUGCCAUAUUAAAUAUAUUUA